rnacentral:ncRNA from 1 species
GCAUAGUAUGGGCGAUACUUUAUCAUAGGAUGCCCGAAACCAAGCAAUAGGCAACCUAGCUGCAUGUCGAUGCAUACGGCGACAUCCCCUUCGGCCGAGGCACACAAUCUUAGAUCUGCCUCGCAUGGGCAUACAAGAUCGUAUCUUGCCGACGAUGCAAAUCUUGCACGGACAUAUGCUUAUGUUAAGGCUAGAGAUGACAUGCAAAUCGUUUGUCUGACUUGGGUAUAGGGGCGAAAGACUAAUCGAACCGUCUAGUAGCUGGUUCCCUCUGAAGUUUCCCUUAAGAUAGCUGGAGCUUAGGAUGAGUUUUAUCGGGUAAAGCCAAUGAUUAGAAGCAUCGGGGGUUCAACGCCCUCGACCUAUUCUCAAACUUUAAAUAGGUAGGACAGCAUGGCUGCUUCAUUGAGCCGGGCCACGGAAUCGAGUGCUCCAACUGGGCCAUUUUUGGUAAGCAGAACUGGCAAUGCAGGAUGAACCGGAAGCCAGGUUAUGAUGCCCAACUGCGCGCUAACCUAGAACCCACAAAGGGUGUUGGUCGAUUAAGACAACAAGAUAGUGAUCAUGGAAGUCGAAAUCCAUUGAGUGUGUAACAACUCACCUACCGAAUCAACGAGCCCCAAAAAUGGAUGGCGCUUAAGCGCGCGACCUAUACCCAGUCGUCGAGGUAAGAGAUAGGCCUUGAUGAGUAGGAGGGCGUGGCGGUCGCUGCAAAACCUAGGGCGCGAGCCCAUGCAGAGCGGCCAUCGGUGCAGAU